UACAGAGGUCUCAAGCGUUGUUCGGAUUCAUUGGGCGUAAAGGGUGCGUAGGCGGCGCGGUAAGUCGGAUGUGAAAUCUCGGAGCUUAACUCCGAAACUGCAUUCGAUACUGCCGUGCUUGAGGACUGGAGAGGAGACUGGAAUUUACGGUGUAGCGGUGAAAUGCGUAGAUAUCGUAAGGAAGACCAGUGGCGAAGGCGGGUCUCUGGACAGUUCCUGACGCUGAGGCACGAAGGCCAGGGGAGCAAAUGGG
rnacentral:rRNA from 1 species